CAGCAGCCGCGGGAAUACGAAGGGGGCUAGCGUUGCUCGGAAUGACUGGGCGUAAAGGGCGCGUAGGCGGUUUGUCGAGUUAGAUGUGAAAUUCCCGGGCUUAACCUGGGGACUGCAUUUGAUACUGGCAGGCUUGAGUGUGGAAGAGGGUCGUGGAAUUCCCAGUGUAGAGGUGAAAUUCGUAGAUAUUGGGAAGAACACCGGUGGCGAAGGCGGCGACCUGGUCCAUAACUGACGCUGAGGCGCGAAAGCGUGGGGAGCAAACAGGAUUAGAUACCCCGGUAGUCCCUGUCUCUUAUAC
rnacentral:rRNA from 1 species